GGAUUUUAAAAUUCAUUUUGUAUUAACUCUAUUUGUCAGUUGGUCUUUUUUUCUGACUUGAUUCCUGGGACUAGUCACUCCAAUUCUGCAUUAAUGCCAGUUGUUUUUCCACCACUCUAGAAUGUCAGUAACACUAGCAAACCUUGGAGGCACUUAUGUUAUAUCACACCUAAAACUUACUCUUGGCCAAAAUCUUAAAUCCACAGGAUGAAUUACAGACUAAAGUAAAAGCCAUUAUGUACUUAAUGGCACCAAAAUUUUCCAUUACAAAUACUGUUUUUAAUUCUUCUUUAAUUUGAAAAAAAAAAAAAAGAAGUGCCUUGAGGGGCUUUGAAUUUCCAAGCUUUCUAGAUCAAAGAUUUCUUCAGCUCUCUGGAUUAUAGGAAUGUUGAAAAACAAAAACAAAUCAUUUUCCUGCUGUAAAAUCCUUGCCAUGUUUUUGUCUUUAUGUAACUCAAAACGGCUAAACUAAGAAAUGAGGUUGGUGAGUCCUGUUCAAAAUUCAUCAGAAAUAAAGUAAUUGAUAAUUCCAAAAGUGUCAUUCCAACUAAUUGACCCAAAAGUAAAUUUUACUGAACUCUUAUUUGAUGAUCCAGAAAACUGCUAAAGAGCACUUGUAAGAGAACAAAAUAAAUUAUGGCUAAGAAUACCAAAAUAUUUUAAAGUGUUGAUUAAAGUGAUUCAAGACUAAAUUAUAAUAAUUUGGGCUUGGUGGUGGUGUCCAGUGUAAAUUUCCCUCUGAUUCCACAUCCGCCCACAACUAUAAAUGUGUCCUUCUAGUAACGUGAUCUGCAAAACAGUGAACUAUUUAUUUCAAAAGCUUUUGCAGAAAACAUUAAAAAGUAACAGUUCCUAUUUUCAUAGUCAUCAGUUUGCUCAUGUUUUCUGUAUGAGGCCUGACCCUUGGUGUACAAGAAAUAAACUGCUUUUAGCAGGGGGAUGUCCUUAGCUCUUGGUCAUCUGGCAUAACAGGUAACAUGAUAAUUUACCACUGGUGCACUAGUGGGUUCAGAAUUUCAGCACUUCCAAAAUGAAGCACUUUUUGCCUUGUUACUAGAGAGAAGUCAGGUAUGCUCACAGUAGUGAAAAAACUAGAUGGCAUGUAUCGCGUAAAGCGCAUGUCCUUCUGCAUGGGGGAGAGUGGUGUCUAUGUGCUCUUGGACAUUGUGAUGUAAAGCACUUUUGCAUGUACAAGAGGUCAUUUGUUUCCAAUUUUUCCUCCAUGUUAUCUUUAUUUAAAAUUAAAGAGAAUUGUUUUCUUUUUCUGAUUAUUAAAAAGAAAUGUACCCUAGAGAAAAAUUAAAAACUGAAAAAAGUAAAACUAUAGUUAAAAAAUCCCACCAUUUGCAUUUACUUAUGUGAAUUUGCAUUUUGUUGUAUUUGCUUUAUGAGAAUGUGUUUACAUAAUUGAGAUCAUGCUGCAUAUAGAACUUCUGCUUUUUCUUUAAAACAAUCAUUUUCUCAUGUUACUCUGAGUUCUCUAACAUCAGUCUUAAUGAAUGCAUACUAUUCUAUUAUGGGAUGUGUGUUUUAUAACCAUUUUGGGACAUUGAAGUUGCUCCCAGUAUUUUGCUACCAUAAAUAUUCUGCAAUUCACAUCUUUACACAUAAAAAAUUUUCAAUAUUGCUAUAUUUGGUGAAGACUUUUAGGUUGCAAGUCAAAGGAAAUCAGUUUGCCUUGGCUUGAGAAAAAAGAAAAUGUAUUAGUUUACGCAGCGAAAAGCUAAGUGUGGAUUAGCUUUGGGCACAGCUGGACACAGCAGCUAAAUGAUGUUUGUUUUCGGAACCUUUCUGUCUUCUGGGCCACUUCCUUCUGUGCUGGCUUCGCUCUUAGGCCUGUUCCUUUACAUUCUUUCAGAAAGAUGGCAGCUCUUUCCCAAUCAUUCUGGAAGUCCAAUGAUGGCUCAUUCACAUGACUGAGGUCCAGCACCUAGGCCUGAGCCAGUCACUGGAGCCAGGGCAAGGGAAUGUUCUGGAUGGCCAACAGGACAGCCCUGCUCCCUCUUGCACCUCCCCUGCUCUGUUCAUCUGGCCCCUUUGCUGUUUCCUGAGCCCACCCAGCCUGCCCAUCACUGAUGACCACUGUUCCUAUCCUCUCUGCCUCCACACAGUUCCCCCCCCGUCCCCAUGGCUUGGUGCUCCCUCACUUCCUUCAGUCCCCGCUGACCACCCCUUCACUGUCUAUUCGCUUUCUCUGACUUCACUGACUUAUUGCUCCCUGAUGUUGUGUUAUAUAUUCAUGUAGUAUAAUUUGUCACCUUCACAAGAACCACAAGGGGUGACACCAUUUGUUUACAGCUCUAUCCCACCCUACAAUAUUGAUAAUAUUUAUCAAGUGAGUUAAUGAACGAGUCUGCCAGGCCAGGUGUGUACCCAUCUGUAGGGUCAGCCCACCCUAAGGACUAGAGAUGGGUGAGGGAAGGAUGUGAUUUCUCAAAAGAAAAAUAAGAAAUUGGGCAGCCAUCACCAGAGCAAGUGGACUAAAUGCCAGGCUGACCAAAACACUGAUGAUCUCCCUUACAAUUUUGGAUCACUUUCUAAAGCCAGUCCCAGGAGUGAGAAAUUCCAAAAAGUUAUAAAUGUUUGGGUUUCCUGAUAAGGACUGCUUCCACUUUUAGCCCUACAAAAAUUCUCCUUAUAGCAGAUAAAAUAAUAAUUCUUAGACGCAGAGCAUCACAUCAUGCCCCUCCGCAACUUCAAACAGAUAACCCUUCCGUGUACCAUGACCAAAGACUCACCCUGGCACCCAGGCCCAAACUGGUCCAGUCUCAGCCUUACCUCUGACCGCGCCCCUAUCCCGCUCCCCUUUCUGCACCAGGCCCUAACACACUGGCUUUCUCUUCUGCCCUGGAAUUCACUCAUCUUUAUCUUGGGACCUUCAUAUUUUCUCUUCCUUCCUCCUGGAAGGCCCUUCUUGCUGCUUCCUACCCUUCCUUCAGGCCUUAGCACAAAUGCCAUCCCUCCAGAGGCCCAAGAGAACCAAGAGGGGCCCAAGAGGCCUUCCACUCCGACGAUGCUUCUCUCCCGGCCUCUCUGGCAGACAUGGGCAUAUUUUUUUUUCACAGCACUCAUCACCCUUUUUAUUUGUUUCCUUGUUUAUUCUCUGUCUUCCCCCACUA
rnacentral:lncRNA from 1 species